CUUUUUGAUCAAAAGGUAUUAAAGUUUGUAGCAUGGUGCAAAUAUUGACAACAAGGCCAUGUGAUGUGCUUGCAAAUGGCAAUAAUUUUGUGGCCAAUGCUGAGGGAGGAAUAUCAAAACUAAGACUUCAUUAACCUCAUACAAAAAAAGUUAUAAAUUCUGCAUCAAUCUUCAUUCAUCAUCAAAAUCAAACCAGAUCUCUGCAAACUCCCAGUUUGACAUUGAUUAUAGUAACCAG
rnacentral:misc_RNA from 1 species